UACGUAGGGUGCGAGCGUUAAUCGGAAUUACUGGGCGUAAAGCGUGCGCAGGCGGUUCGUUGUGUCGGCGGUGAAAGCCCCGGGCUCAACCUGGGAAUGGCCGUUGAAACUGGCGAACUGGAGUGUGGCAGAGGGGGGUGGAAUUCCGCGUGUAGCAGUGAAAUGCGUAGAUAUGUGGAGGAAUACCGAUGGCGAAGGCAGCCCCCUGGGAUAACGACUGACGCUCAUGCACGAAAGCGUGGGGAGCAAACAGG
rnacentral:rRNA from 1 species